rnacentral:rRNA from 1 species
UACGUAGGUGGCAAGCGUUAUCCGGAAUUACUGGGUGUAAAGGGCGCGCAGGCGGCCCUGCAAGUCGGAUGUGAAAGAUCAAGGCUCAACCUUGACAGGCCAUUUGAAACUGUGGGACUUGAGUGUCAGAGGGGAAAGUGGAAUUCCUAGUGGAGCGGUAAAAUGCGCAGAUAUUAGGAGGAACACCAGUGGCGAAGGCGGCCUCCUGGACCAUUCCUGACACUCAGACGCGAAAGCUAGGGUAGCAAACGGGAUUAGAUACCCCGGUAGU